rnacentral:misc_RNA from 1 species
AGAGAGAGAGAGAGAGAAGUGAUAAGAUGGAUUUUAGGAAAUUGUAGAAAUAGUAUAGUGUUUAGUAGAGAUAAAGGUAAAAUUGAAAAUAAAAAUUAAUAAAAAAAUUAAUACAGGGAGUAACAGGAUAAAAUGAAUAAAUAAAGAGAGAAAUCCCUUCCAAUAAAUAAAUAAUAAAUCAUUUGGGUUUCUAUGUAUGUGGCAGGAACUUGAUAUGUGAGGUGAACUAAAUCUUUUCAUUUUAUAAAAUAAGUUGGAACCAAAUCUUUCCUUGGUAAAUUUGUGAAAGGAAGUCAAACCAGAAAGAAAGAGGGUUCAGAAAGUCACCAUAAAAUCAAACUUUGGUGCAGCAGCAAAAAGUUUUGUUAAUAUCCGAAAAAAAAGUAGAAAAACUAGAGGCAAUUAAUAUGGAACUCCUGUGUUUUUCUUUAACAUAGAAAGCGGAAUUUCCUCUAGCUAAAUAAAUAAUUUCUCAAGGAAUGAAAAAACAAAAUUUGAGGAUCAGAUGACAAUUAAAACGAAGCAACAUGAAAAUUUCUACCAGUAGAUUGACUACAUUACCAACUGCAUCAAAAGCAAACUCUUAUUCAAGAAACGUAAUAUUUUUAUAGCAGCUAGUAUGUAAAGCUAGCCAUGAAACACAGAA